AUUGAACGCUGGCGGCAGGCCUAACACAUGCCAGUCGAGCGGAUGAAGGGAGCUUGCUCCUGGAUUCAGCGGCGGACGGGUGAGUAAUGCCUAGGAAUCUGCCUGGUAGUGGGGGAUAACGUCCGGAAACGGGCGCUAAUACCGCAUACGUCCUGAGGGAGAAAGUGGGGGAUCUUCGGACCUCACGCUAUCAGAUGAGCCUAGGUCGGAUUAGCUAGUUGGUGGGGUAAAGGCCUACCAAGGCGACGAUCCGUAACUGGUCUGAGAGGAUGAUCAGUCACACUGGAACCGAGACACGGUCCAGACUCCUACGGGAGGCAGCAGUGGGGAAUAUUGGACAAUGGGCGAAAGCCUGAUCCAGCCAUGCCGCGUGUGUGAAGAAGGUCUUCGGAUUGUAAAGCACUUUAAGUUGGGAGGAAGGGCAGUAAGUUAAUACCUUGCUGUUUUGACGUUACCAACAGAAUAAGCACCGGCUAACUUCGUG
rnacentral:rRNA from 1 species